UCGGAGAGUUUGAUCCUGGCUCAGGAUGAACGCUGGCGGCGUGCCUAAUACAUGCAAGUCGAGCGAACUGAUUAGAAGCUUGCUUCUAUGACGUUAGCGGCGGACGGGUGAGUAACACGUGGGCAACCUGCCUGUAAGACUGGGAUAACUUCGGGAAACCGAAGCUAAUACCGGAUAGGAUCUUCUCCUUCAUGGGAGAUGAUUGAAAGAUGGUUUCGGCUAUCACUUACAGAUGGGCCCGCGGUGCAUUAGCUAGUUGGUGAGGUAACGGCUCACCAAGGCAACGAUGCAUAGCCGACCUGAGAGGGUGAUCGGCCACACUGGGACUGAGACACGGCCCAGACUCCUACGGGAGGCA
rnacentral:rRNA from 2 species